GUGUUCCGGUUUCGGGUUGUGCUGUUAGCUGCCUUUUCCUGCACAGAGCUAAGCAGAGUUCAGCGGAGUCUCGCGUCUCGGUCCUGCCUGUGCCUGUGACUUAGACUCUGUGACAGUGUGUUUGGCAUUGGCAUGUGAGUGUGCGUGCUUUUCCAUUUGUAUGUGCCAUUUUGCGUAUGCGUAUGCGUAUGCGAGUGUGUGUGAGUGUGAGUGUCUUGUCUGUCGCUAACGGUGCGCGCGCGAUUGAGACAGUCUUUGUGUGCGUGCGUGUAUGAGUAUGUGUCAGUUUGUGUGUCUGUGUAGGAGCCAGUGUGACCAUAUGUAUGUGCAUUUAUUGAGCACCACAAUACUAAUACUAAUACAUUAGCAUACACAUACGACAUGGCAACAUUUAAGCGCACAGCAGGAUGCUCGAAGGCAGAUAUGACCCACUAGCAGCCUAAAUAUGUACAAUUCAAACCAACGGCAAAUAAUGGACGUUUUCUCGAAAUAAAAGUCUAAAUAAUCAACAUUAAAAAAAUAUUUGUUUAAUGCUAAGCAAUAUUUUUAUGAUUGAGUGAGCAGCACCGAAAAAUCGGAUUUGUGCUUGUGAAACUUAACAAAAGACAACCAAGGAUUAUUAUUAGAAGUGUGUACAAAAAUGGAAAAAAUCAUGGAAGAAUAACUGUUACUGAAGCAAUUUAAAAUAGGCUUAAUACAAAAUAAAUUUGUAGGCAGCACAAACUUAACUAAAACUAUCGAAA